GCAGCAGACCAGUUGCAACGAAGCUGAUCAACCCUCGCCCAGUGAAAUAAAUGCCAUUUCUGCCUUACUGACUGACAUUGAUCGCCGUGCUCCAGGAUGCGAGAAAAAGCAAAUUGAAAUGGCAGCACAAAAGCUGACCUUAUCGGAUUACAGUUCAAAGAAGGUCCAAGCUGCUAAAGCAAUGAAAGAGCAAGUCAACUCAAGCC
rnacentral:lncRNA from 1 species